ensembl:lncRNA
UCUGAGAGAGUGACUACAGGCUCUCUGAGCCACGAGAUGCUUGAAUACAGACAGAAUAAACAUAUCAAUGUACUAAUAAAAUACAGAUCACAUAAAUGUGCAACAAUGUGAACUUGGACACACCACACGGAAGUCAUCCUCAUAUUUAAAUGCACCAUCUCUAUAUCUUGGAUGGCCUGAGGCAAAACACAACCCAGAAGAAGUACGAGAAGAAGCUUUUUCCAACUGUAGUCGUUGCUUGUUUACUUCAUUCAAGCGUUGCCGUGGAGAAAAAGGGAGACGCCAUUAUAUGCUUCAAAUGCACAAUAGACAAAUCUGGGUUUGUUUCCCUUCAGCUACGAUGACGUUGAUGCUUGACGACACUGAAUGGCAUCUCUUAAAAUAUCUGCAAUCAAGCGUGCGCAA